rnacentral:rRNA from 1 species
GACGAACGCUGGCGGCGUGCUUAACACAUGCAAGUCGUGCGGUAAGGCCCUGCUUUGGUGGGGUACACGAGCGGCGAACGGGUGAGUAACACGUGGGUGACCUGCCUUCAGCUUUGGGAUAAGCCUGGGAAACUGGGUCUAAUACCGGAUAUGACCUUGGGGUGCAUGCCGUUGGGGUAGGAAAGCCUGUGUUGUUUGGCAUGGGUGGCUGGGGAUGGGCCCGCGGUCUAUCAGUCNGGUUGGUGGGGUGAUGGCCUACCAAGGCGACGACGGGUAGCCGGCCUGAGAGGGCGUUCGGCCACACUGGGACUGAGACACGGCCCAGACUCCGUACGGGAGGCAGCAGGUGGGGAAUAGUUGCGCAAGUGGGCGGAAGCCUGACGCAGCGACGCCGCGUGGGGAUGA